rnacentral:ncRNA from 1 species
CAAAGGUUUGGUCCCGGCCUUAAAGUCAGUUAUUGCCCAACUUACACAUGCAAGUCUCCGCACACCUGUGAGUAUGCCCUUGACCCCACCAUGGGCAAGAGGAGCGGACAUCAGGCACGCCAGUCAGCCCAAGACGUCUAGUUAAACCACACCCCCACGGGUACGCAGCAGUGAUUAAUGUUAAAAAUAAGCGACAGCUUGAUUUAAUUAAGGCAAAACAGGGCCGGCAAAUCUGGUGCCAGCCGCCGCGGUUAUACCAGAGGCCCAAAUUGACUCUUUCGGCGUAAAGCGUGGUUAGAGGCCCCAAAAACUAGGGUCAAACUAAAACUAAGCCGUAAAAAUCUUAUUAUUAGGAAGCACAAGAACGAAAGUCACCCUAACCCCCACCCACUUGAACCCACGACAGCUGGGGCACAAACUGGGAUUAGAUACCCCACUAUGCCCAGCCGUAAACUUUUUAUUUACCCCCACCCCCGCCAGGGAACUACGAGCAAUGCUUAAAACUCAAGGGACUUGACGGUGCCCCAUAUCCCGCUAGAGGAGCCUGUCCUAUAAUCGAUGACCCACGCUAAACCUCACCCCUUCUAGUUUUCAGCCUGUAUACCUCCGUCGUCAGCCUACCGCGUGAGCGUCCUUCAGUUGGCUAAAAGGCCCCCCGCCCACACGUCAGGUCAAGGUGCAGCAAAUGAGGGGGGAAGAGAUGGGCUACACUCUCUAACUUAGAGAAAACGGAAGACUCAGUGAAAUAAAGUCAAAAGGCGGAUUUAGUAGUAAGGGGGGAUCAUUAUGCCUCCCUUAACCCGGCCCUGGGGUGUGUACACACCGCCCGUCACCCUCUUCAACGCACUAAUAUAGUAAUUAACCAGCAGUCGCACUAAAGAAGAGGCAAGUCGUAACAUGGUAAGUAUACCGGAAGGUGUACUUGGUACUUGGAAA